rnacentral:rRNA from 1 species
UACGAAGGGGGCUAGCGUUGUUCGGAAUUACUGGGCGUAAAGCGCGUGUAGGCGGGUCCUUAAGUCAGGGGUGAAAUGCCAAGGCUCAACCUUGGAACUGCCUUUGAUACUGGGGAUCUUGAGUCCGGGAGAGGUGAGUGGAACUGCGAGUGUAGAGGUGAAAUUCGUAGAUAUUCGCAAGAACACCAGUGGCGAAGGCGGCUCACUGGCCCGGAACUGACGCUGAGACGCGAAAGCGUGGG